rnacentral:rRNA from 1 species
GGUGCGUAACGCGUAUAGAACCUACCUUUUACAGAGGAAUAGCCUUUAGAAAUGAAGAUUAAUGCCUCAUGGUAUUGUAGACUGGCAUCAGUUUAUAAUUAAAGAUUUAUCGGUAAAAGAUGGCUAUGCGUCCUAUUAGUUAGUUGGUAAGGUAACGGCUUACCAAGACAGCGAUAGGUAGGGGUCCUGAGAGGGAGAUCCCCCACACUGGUACUGAGACACGGACCAGACUCCUACGGGAGGCAGCAGUGAGGAAUAUUGGACAAUGGAGGAGACUCUGAUCCAGCCAUGCCGCGUGUAGGAAGAAUGCCCUAUGGGUUGUAAACUACUUUUAUACAGGAAGAAACACUGGUAUGUAUACCAGCUUGACGGUACUGUAAGAAUAAGGAUCGGCUAACUCCGUGCCAGCAGCCGCGGUAAUACGGUGGGUCCGAGCGUUAUCCGGAAUCAUUGGGUUUAAAGGGUCCG